CCCACGUAGCCUUGAGCACACCUGUCACCAAUCACCAUACCUACUUACAGUGAUUGCACACACCUGUCCCUUCAAACAAAAAGUGAGCUGUUUGGCCACAAUACCCAGGAGUAUGUUUGGAGGAGAAAAGUACUACCGCCACCCCGCAGAGGGCAACCGAGGGGCAUAUGUGACACAGUGAAGCAGCAGUGGGGUGAGUAGAAGAAGACUCAUGCGGACAAGCAGCAACAUGGAAGAAAUGGCGGCAUGGAAGCUUCAUCACGAAACUUGAUCAAACAUUCGCGACCAGUCAAAGGUGUACCAAGCCUUGCUGGGAUACGCUCUGGCUUGAGGUCACCCUGAACCCAAUCAGGGUACUGAGGUUCAUCUUCCUCAACAUGGUGGCGCUCUUCCUCCUCCUCUUCCCUCUCUUGCUGAUGCAGCUCUACCUGCGUGGGCUCCUUCGUCUGAGACGGCCUCAGCAGAAACUCCAGCUCCUCUGCACUGAUAGCCACCUUUUCUGGGACCAACCACCUCUUGAAGUGUUCCAGGGCGCUAGGAAGGAAGACACAAGUUACAGGUCUUUUCCAAAGUCAAUACAAAUAUGUCCGAUCAGUCACACAAGCUGGGAAAACAAUGUCAUCAACCCAUCCAUCCAUUUUCUACCACUUGUCCCUAUCAGGGUCGGGGGGGGGGUGGGUGUUCCCCACAUCUACGGUCCUCUCUAAGGUUUUCUCAUUGUCCCAUUGGGUUCAGUUUUUCCUUGCCCUGAUGUGGGAUCUGAACCGUCAUCAUUGUGUCUUGUGCAGCCCUUUGAGACAAUUUUGAUUUAGGGCUAUAUAAAUUAGGGCUGCAACAACUAAUCGUUUGAAUCGAUUAAAAUCUGUUAUAAAAAUA